AGCAAGAGACCGAGAAAGGUCUUAUGAGGUUAACAGGGAAGAAAUGGUACAGAGGAGGGAUGUAGGUCUGCAAGUAAGUAUAGAUGAAGAAAGGAAGGAAAAGUCAGAAGAUGAUGCUUGGACCGAGGAGUCCAAGAACUCAAGCACAGGAGAAGUUGAUCCCUCCACUCUGAGCACAGCAGCCACAAGAGGAAAGAAGAAGACCAGAGGUCGGAGAAGGUCAAAGAAGGGUAAGUUUUGGCA
rnacentral:lncRNA from 1 species